GUACACUCCUACGGGAGGCAGCAGUGGGGAAUAUUGGACAAUGGGCGCAAGCCUGAUCCAGCCAUGCCGCGUGAGUGAUGAAGGCCCUAGGGUUGUAAAGCUCUUUCACCGGAGAAGAUAAUGACGGUAUCCGGAGAAGAAGCCCCGGCUAACUUCGUGCCAGCAGCCGCGGUAAUACGAAGGGGGCUAGCGUUGUUCGGAAUUACUGGGCGUAAAGCGCACGUAGGCGGAUCGAUCAGUCAGGGGUGAAAUCCCAGGGCUCAACCCUGGAACUGCCUUUGAUACUGUCGAUCUGGAGUAUGGAAGAGGUGAGUGGAAUUCCGAGUGUAGAGGUGAAAUUCGUAGAUAUCCGGAGGAACACCAGUGGCGAAGGCGGCUCACUGGUCCAUUACUGACGCUGAGGUGCGAAAGCGUGGGGAGCAAACAGGAUUAGAUACCCCAGUAGUCCCAU
rnacentral:rRNA from 1 species